ensembl:snRNA U2 U2 spliceosomal RNA
AAAAAUUAUUAGCCUUUUGGCUAAGAUCAAGCGUAGUAUCUGUCCUUAUCAGUUUAAUAUCUGAUAGUUCUCAAUUUGGAGCACUAUAUUAAAUGAAUUUCAUGAGCAGAGAGUUGGGAAAGGAGCCUGCUCCAUCCACUCCAAGCAUAGAUCUGGUUUUGCAGCACCUCCAGGAAUGUGCCCUCCCC